UUCUCUCCACGCACCAGGGGGGAUCGAACCUGUCAGCCGCGGUUGACCCCGCCUGGGUGGCCGUUCGUGUGGGCCGUGAGGAAGAGAGGGAGGUGCUCGCGAGGCUGCCAUUCAAUCGAGCUUAGAAGCCCCGUCGAGUCCUGAGGAUAGUAUCUGGGUGCUCGCUGUGGAGGUUUGGCGACCGGGGGUCAAGUGUGUGCUCGCUGGGGUCCAAGAACCAUGGCGGAGAGGCGCCAUCACGUGGAACGGGGAUUGCUCAUCAGAGCGAUUGAAUCCUGCCCGCGAUCCACCUCAUGCCGCGGGCUGGGUACCGUCCGACUCAACGAACACGCCGGAGCAUCGCUUCACCGAACCGCGCCCACAGAAUCUUCGUCGAGCUUCGUCGCAAGGUCAGAACACCCUACACAUGGAUGUAAUGUAUUUUCUACACGAACUCUUCGUGGAUCUCGGUCGUGCGUCCUAGGCAAGCUCAUCACCUAACUCCAGUGGUGGCGGAACCGUGGCCGGGCUCCCCCUCGGUGUUUACCCGGCGGUCCUCGCUUGCGCGACCGUGCGGUUCAUCGGAGGCCAUACGGAUGCCUGUGUGACGCGCAGUCGUCCUAGACCUGAGCGAUAGGAGGAAGAUGAUCUUUGGCGCGUUGGAUGGGUUAUACACGGCGGGGAUUAGAUGUGGGUUGUCCACCGCUGGAUCUUUGGCGAACGGGUCGGAUUGGAGGUUGUCGUGGGCAGAUUCUGGCCCUUGAUCGGUAAUCCAAGGGUUCGCGUAGAAUUACAGGUUCUGACGUCUAUGGAUCUAAUCCAUACCGCCCACCAUUGAUCGAACGACCAUGAUUGGCCCAUACCCCUUCGACCUAGGCAUUUUGCGUAAAAGACCCCGUGAAAUAUCUGAAUCAACCCGCCGUCCACUGUAGGGUUUGGCUGAGUCUGUGGAUUACUUAUGUUUUCGCCCCUGCACUUCUGUUUAUUUAGCGCACAGUCCAGACACCUAUUAAAACCAGGAAAUUCAUUUAGAAAAUGGUUUUUCAGUUUAAAUUAAUUGUAGAAACAUAUUAAAUUCCUAGAAAAUUCAUAUUAGGUUCAAAUUGACCCAUUUUGGUUCCUAUAAUUUUAUAAUAUUAUUGUUUAUCAGAUAGUACCACUGUUUUCAUAUGAAAGUCACAUUAAAAUUUAUUUCCUAACUAAUCUUAUAUCAAAUACAUAAAACCUUAGGAAAUUCAUAACUUCCCCAUUUUAAUUCUGAAUUGACUCGUUCAAGUUGCGUUAGUCUCGUAGCUUGGCGUAGAUCAUUGUUAUAUAUUUUUUUCUUAUGUUUGGUGUGAUGUUAAUUUUAUCUAUACCAUGUUUGUUUGUAUUGUUACGACUAGCGUGAGGACAUGUGUCAUCUGAAAAGCAAGUUGGUUCCUGGAAUCUCAAGUGCCAGGCAAGUUGUGCCCUUGAUUCACUUUUGUUACCCAAUAAUGUUCUUUAUAAUCAUUUACCAUGCAUAGGUUUAAUUUUGAUGGGACCCAAUAGGUCACCCUAGAUUGUUUAUCUCAUUACCUUGUUUGCCCCUGAAUCAUAUGGGUAGUUUUUGCUAUUGCUUUAUAUGGUUUUGGGAUAAUCAUUUAUUAUAUCCAUGUUCCAGUUAUUAUGUUAUUUAUUUAUGUUCAUGUCAAGAUCAUUAUAUUAUUGUUAAUUGGAACAUGGAGCUUAACUUGAGAAACACGUGCCACCACAAGGGAGGAAUGGCAACCCUUGGCUGACUAAUUAGGAAAUCUAGUGGAAGACUACCUUACCCGAAAGGGGCAAGGGCAGUAGGGGAGUUGCAUGCAAGGAGGUUCUCGGGUUGAUUUUGCUGCGAUGGCAGUCAGACGAGGGAUUCUUGCAAGUGCUCUUCCCAUAAACUAUAGCGGGUUUUCGGAAGUUAGUGGAACUUUGUAAAGGCCUCGUAGUGGAUCCCUAGUCAUUCACCUUGGUAGUGUCUAAGGGUCUAGCUAGCCCUGGCGACAUGGGAAACACGGCUUGUGGGUAAAGGGUACAACCUCUGCAGAGUGUAAAACUGGUAUACUAGCCGAGCUCGCGGUCAUGAGCAGCUCAGGACUCUCCGAUGAUAAAUUUAUGGAACCUAAAUUCAAUUUUGUCAUUUGCAUUGCAUGGGUUAUUAUUAAUUUUGUUCUAUUACUUUAUUUAAGGUUUGGUAUUUACUUACACUUAGUAACUGCUAAUAAAAUUUUGACCAACUUAUAAAAGCAAUGCUUAGCUUUGACCUCUACUGUUGAUGAGCCUUACACUUCAUGAACUCCCACCUUUGGUGAGUUCAUGUCACAUUAUUCCCCACAACUUGUUGAGCGAUGAACAUGUGUGAGCUCACCCUUGCUGUCUCACACCCCCCCCACAGGUCAAGAACAGGUACCACUUGAGGAGGCGCAUGGUGGUUGUUGCGCUGUGUUCGUGAGAGGUCUAGGUCGUCGUCUCCCAGUUGACUUUCUGGCGCCAAGGAUGGAUUCUAGAUCCUGUUAUAUUUAUCUUUUAUUUUGUAAGACUUCCGCUAUGUAUUAAGUACUCUGAUUAUAUUGUGACAUUAUCUCUAUACACUCUGUUAUUAUA
rnacentral:lncRNA from 1 species